CCUAUAGCACAGUUGGUAGUGUGUCUGCUUAGCGUGCAGAAGGUCCGGGGUUCAAUNAACGAAUAUGGAA